rnacentral:rRNA from 1 species
AGGGCACCACCAGGAGUGGAGCCUGCGGCUUAAUUUGACUCAACACGGGGAAACUCACCCGGCCCGGACACCGGAAGGAUUGACAGAUUGAUAGCUCUUUCUUGAUUCGGUGGAUGGUGGUGCACGGCCGUUCUUAGUUGGUGGAGCGAUCUGUCUGGUUAAUUCCGAUAACGAACGAGACUCUAGCCUAUUAAAUAGACGUCGGGUUCUCUGCACUCGACGGUCUUCUUAGAGGGACAAGGUGCUUUUAGCACCGCGAAACAGAGCAAUAACAGGUCUGUGAUGCCCUUAGAUGUCCGGGGCCGCACGCGCGCUACACUGAAGGAAGCAGCGUGUAACAACCUUGUUCUAACGAACUGGGUAACCCGUGGAACUUCCUUCAUGAUUGGGAUAGGGGUUUGCAAUUGUGCCCCUUGAACGAGGAAUUCCCAGUAAACACUAGUCAUCAGCUAGUGCUGAUUACGUCCCUGCCCUUUGUACACACCGCCCGUCGCUACUACCGAUUGAAUGGUUUAGUGA